AAAGUGACAUUUCAAUAAUUAUCAAAUAACCCUGCUCGCAGAGCAAGAUUACUUUUGACAGAUAUCGAAUCAUUUUCCAUCGAUGUCCUAUUGGAAUUUCUGGGUAGCACCAGCCAUUCUUAUAACGGGGUGAUUUUUUAAUUUUCGAACUGUCACUUUUAAGUUUAAUUCUCCAAAUGAGACAGACCCUAAGUGCAUAAUCAAAACAAGUAUUUUUAUUUACGCCCAGAGACAGAUUUAUUAAUAAUUUGUUGUCUAUAUUUCGAUUAAGUGCAUUAUGAUACUUUGAUUCUUCCUAUGAUCAUCAACAAGAAUUCCAUCAAGGAGUCCAGAGACGUAAUAUUUCAGAACUAGGAUUAUAGAACCAAAAAAAUAUAGUGCUCCGGGAUUUCACUCAACUCCGGGAUUCAUUCGGAUUGAUCGUUGGAUUUUCCGUUCAAAUCUCCAUCCGAUGCGAAUUACUUUCGGAGUCAUCAAGUGAACGGAAGAGAUCCUGGUAUGGAGCCGUAAUUAUAUUUGCGUUGGAUUGAAUGAUCAACGGCACCGGGCGGAAACGGAUCGCUUGAUGAUGUUGCUACCUGAAGAAUAAAAUUCCGCACCGAAGUCAAAGUUGCCAUCGUUAAGGCGUCUAUUGAUGGUUCGUUGAUAUUCGUGGCCUCAAGAGUGUAGCCGAUUCCAGGGCCGAUUCACUAUGGACAAAAGAUACUUUAGUUACCAGAUAAAGAUUGUCGCUGUCGUCGCUGUCCGGAACAUCUUUUGCUGGCUCAAUGUCAAAGAAGAAAAAUCCAUA